CCGUGGGCUUAGUCGAGCUCGGCCGCGGGGGGCAGUGGCGGCCGCCGGCGGCGGUGGGAGGGGGGAUUAGAAUGCUAGUAAGCGCAAUUAGCAACCUCGCGGUAAAUUCCGUCAGUAAUUGGCGGCCUCACGCUAAAUUCCGUGCGCAAUUAGCGACCUAGGCCUCACUCCCUGACAACCUAGCUGCUCUGAACUCCGCCCGAAACCCUAGCCGCCCCCAUCAUCCCCUUCCUCCCACCCCGGCGGCGGUCGAUCAGCCGCCCCGCCCGCCAUGCCCACGCCGGCGCCGCACCUCGUCGACGAGAUCCUGGAGGAGAUCUUCCUCCGCCUGCCCACCCCGGCCGAGCUCGCCCGCGCCUCAACCGCCAGCCCCCGUUUCCGCCGCAUCAUCACCGACCGCUCCUUCCUCCGCCGCCACCGCAAACUCUACCCACCUCCUCUCCUAGGCCUCGUACACCAGGAUGGCGGCUUCCAGCCAGCCGAGGCGCCCCAGGCCUCCGCCCCGCUCGCUCGCGCCCUCGCCGACGCCGCUGAUUUCACCUACUCCUUCGUCCCCGUGCGGCCGUGCGCAGCAAGGGCAUCCCCUGGCAAGUCCGCGACGGCCGCGUCCUCCUUGAGGACUGCCGAUUUUUGGAGACCCUCAAAGACAUGGCGGUGUGUGAUCCCUUGUCACGGCGCUACGUGCUGCUCCCGCCCAUACCGACGGACCUCGCUGUCCAGGAAGAGCACCCACUUGAUAUGGUGCCCAUCCUUGCUCCCAUUGGCGAUGAUGAAGAUGAGAUGUCGUUCAAGGUGAUAUGCUUAGCCACCUAUGGUUCCAAGAUAACCGCGUUUGUCUUCUCGUCUGUCACACAGCAAUGGUGUAUAGCUGCAUCUAUCGCUCGGAGUUUGUCAGGCGUGGACUAUCGUCCCCUUGGACUGCGCAUGUCUCCCACUUAUGGGUUCCGUGGCUUGUCCGGUUUCGACAACGUGCGCGGAUGCUUCUACUUGGUGUCACCUUAAUUGGUUAGACAAGUUGUUCGUGCUGGACACACAAAGAAUGGAGUUUUUCACUGUGAACUAUCACACCGGCUAUGAUAUACUGCUCACACAUCUGCCUGGCCGGAUACUCAAAUUUCUCGCCAGUUACGAUAAACCCCCUAGAGUUCUACCUGGCCAGAACAGAAGUUUGCCUGGCAGUGUAGUAGGUAGAGAAGGAUACCUCGAGAUGUUUUCUCUCGUCGGUGAUCACAGCCCAAAUGGCUCAUUUGAUCUCUAUCAUAUGACUCAGCAAACCAAUGGUGAAUCUUCCAGUGAUUGGCAGCUAGAGAAUAUUAUACCGUUGCCUCGCGGAUAUGAUUAUUUCACCGUGAGUGCAGCUGAGGGACUCUUAUUCCUUGGAGCCACUACAGAAGAUCAAGUGGAUUUUGAUAUAGUUUCCGGGGUACCAUUGUCCAGGACUGAUUGGGAUGUAGAUUAUUUUUCGCUCGAGGUCAAGACUUCUGAACUGAGGAAGGUUUGUAGGAGCAGGGGGCAAUUCUUCCAAGCUGAACUUGUUCACUGGUACUUUGGCUACCCCCCGCCAUUGUCAAAACCAAGUAUAUGAUGUGGAUGAACUCGCUUUGCUUUCGGUGUCUCUUUUUGGGCCAUGCAUCUGGAGCCUUUGAGGAGAAAUGGAGGAUGGGCAAGAUGGUGCCGCAAACACUACUUGAGCAUUUGUUUUACUUACGAGGAAUCAGCCAUCCUGUACCUCGUGUCGGUAUGAGGCAAAUUUAAAAGCAAGAGAUGCUGCAGGCAAGGUGGAUUCGUCGGUGUACUUCGCGACAUAUGCCGAUGUUAAGCGUGUCCUAGCAAGAAAUGUUGUAAACGACGUGAUAUUUUGUGAACUUUUAAAUCCAAGAGGCUAUUUGUGUGUGUGUGUGUGUAUGUGUGUUGUGAAAAUGGUCGAGUAAUUAACUUAUUGUUGUCAAAAGUCUCAGCAGUUGCAGCACAUUAUCCUCUGCUCAAAA